UUGUUGUUUGUUUUGUUUUUUACUUUUGAUACUCUGUGUGCUUCUUACCCUGUGUGUUGCUAUUCAAUGCUGCUGGAACCUCAGUUUCCCUGAGGGAGUCUUUCCAAGGGAUCAACAAAAUUUAAUCUAAUCUAAUCUAAUCUAAUCUAAU